rnacentral:rRNA from 1 species
UCAGGAUGAACGCUAGCUACAGGCUUAACACAUGCAAGUCGAGGGGUAGCAGGGUAGCAAUACCGCUGACGACCGGCGCACGGGUGAGUAACACGUAUCCAACCUUCCCAUAACGUCAGGGAUAGCCUUUCGAAAGAAAGAUUAAUACCUGAUAGUACUUUUUCAAGGCAUCUUGAAAAAGUUAAAGAUUUAUUGGUUAUGGAUGGGGAUGCGUUCCAUUAGAUAGUUGGUGAGGUAACGGCUCACCAAGUCUUCGAUGGAUAGGGGUUCUGAGAGGAAGGUCCCCCACAUUGGUACUGAGACACGGACCAAACUCCUACGGGAGGCAGCAGUGAGGAAUAUUGGUCAAUGGGCGAGAGCCUGAACCAGCCAAAGUAGCGUGAAGGAUGAAGGUCCUAUGGAUUGUAAACUGCUUUUCCCCGGGAAGAAUAAGCCCCUCGUGAGGGGUGAUGCCGGUACCGGGGGAAUAAGGAUCGGCUAACUCCGUGCCAGCCGCCGC